GGCGCUGUGGCCGAGUGGUUAAGGCGACAGAUUCGAACUGGGUGUCAUUGUUAUCUGUUUCGGUUUCCGAGCGCAAGUUCAAAUCUUGCCGGCGUCG